rnacentral:rRNA from 1 species
CACGUAGGGCGCAAGCGUUGUCCGGAAUUAUUGGGCGUAAAGAGCUCGUAGGCGGUCUGUUACGUCUGCUGUGAAAACCCAGGGCUUAACCCUGGGCUUGCAGUGGAUACGGGCAGACUAGAGGCAGGUAGGGGAGAAUGGAAUUCCCGGUGUAGCGGUGAAAUGCGCAGAUAUCGGGAGGAAGACCAGUGGCGAAGGCGGGUCUCUGGACAGUUCCUGACGCUGAGGCACGAAGGUCAGGGGAGCAAACGGG